rnacentral:tRNA from 1 species
AGAUUAAAUGAGACGUAGAAAGACGCCUCUUGGAAAAUUUGUAAUCAGGGGGCCACGGGUUCGAAUCCUGUAGCCGGCACCA